UGGGGAAUAUUGGACAAUGGGGGGAACCCUGAUCCAGCCAUGCCGCGUGUGUGAAGAAGGCCUUAUGGUUGCAAAGCACUUUAAGCGAGGAGGAGGCUACUGAGACUAAUACUCUUGGAUAGUGGACGUUACUCGCAGAAUAAGCACCGGCUAACUCUGUGCCAGCAGCCGCGGUAAUACAGAGGGUGCGAGCGUUAAUCGGAUUUACUGGGCGUAAAGCGUGCGUAGGCGGCUUUUUAAGUCGGAUGUGAAAUCCCCGAGCUUAACUUGGGAAUUGCAUUCGAUACUGGGAAGCUAGAGUAUGGGAGAGGAUGGUAGAAUUCCAGGUGUAGCGGUGAAAUGCGUAGAGAUCUGGAGGAAUACCGAUGGCGAAGGCAGCCAUCUGGCCUAAUACUGACGCUGAGGUACGAAAGCAUGGGGAGCAAACAGGAUUAGAUACCCUGGUAGUCCAUGCCGUAAACGAUGUCUACUAGCCGUUGGGGCCUUUGAGGCUUUAGUGGCGCAGCUAACGCGAUAAGUAGACCGCCUGGGGAGUAC
rnacentral:rRNA from 1 species